CAAAGGUAAAAUAAUCAUUUCAGGAUUUUUAUUUCCUACACUUCUUAGAUUUAGUUGGAUAUCUUGCCUUUAUUGGACAGUGACGAGAGAGAGAGAGAUGCAGCGAGGACUCGGCAUUAAUGGUCGCGCUCCACCAGGUCCUGCUGAUAAACCAUUUCCUCAUGAGACAGUUUUCCUGAUCUGAUGGGCCUUUCCCCCUCCACCUGCUGCAGCGAUGAGGCGCUCAGACCUGCGUUGCCAUGGAUACACGGUCCUGUUCCUGGGAAGAUAGACGUUUACUGAUGAUCGCCUACAGAUGGAGCCGCUGCUCAAUGAGUGAGGUGAAUGUUUGAUCUGUGCACACACGUCACACAGCAGCUUCUGCUUCAACAGCUUUAUUUAGCUUAAGAAUACAUACAGGAUAAACAGGAAAAUAAAAGAAAGCAUAACAGUAUCUGAUUUUGGAAACUUUUGCAGCCGACUUCAAUUUUCUUGGACGAUAAAAGGCACA